UACGGGGGGAGCAAGCGUUGUUCGGAUUUACUGGGCGUAAAGGGCGCGUAGGCGGCCACCGCAAGUCGGUUGUGAAAUCUCCGGGCUUAACCCGGAACGGUCAGAUGAUACUGCUUUGCUAGAGUGCGGAAGGGGCAAUCGGAAUUCUUGGUGUAGCGGUGAAAUGCGUAGAUAUCAAGAGGAACACCUGAGGUGAAGACGGGUUGCUGGGCCGACACUGACGCUGACAGCGCGAAAGCCAGGGGAGCAAACGGGG
rnacentral:rRNA from 1 species